GUAAAUUAAAUGAAAUAUAUAUAUAUAUAUAUAUUAAUGUAAAGGUGGAUAUUUGAGUGGUGGGACCCACCACCACUUAAUUGUUUAUUUUGUGGCCAAUAGGCCAUUUCAAGGCCUCCAAUUCUCUCUCUAUCUCCCGGCUCUCUCUUCCUCUCUUCUCUUUUUCUUUUUUUUUUUUUUUUCACCAUCUUCAAUCUUUGAUUACUCCUCAACCAUUAGGAGUUUGAUGGUGCCGUUUGCGGCAAAACGGAGAACUCGUCGAGAUCUUCGCAUUGAUUGGAGCAAUUUCACUUUUGGUGCUCAUUGGAAUUUCGAAAUUAGGGUUUGGAUCGGGCAAUUUUUGGGGGUUUUGCUUCCUUUUGAGGUAGGGGUUUCUAAUCCAUAAUCUCUUGUAUUUUUGUGAGUCAAUUCUUUAAAAUUUGUAUUAUUACAUGAUUAAUUUGUGUAUAUUUCAUGCAAACUUUGCUAUAUAUUGUAUAUGAGAUGUAUUUACAUGCUAAGUUGAUAUGUGAUGAAGAACUAUGUUUAAAUGGUAAUGUUUUUGUAAUAUUUCUGUUUUUCACCAUUUUUCAUUUUCUGCAAUUUCUGAAUUUUCCGAGGGUAUUUUCGUCUUUUCUCGUUUUGCUUGCCGGACACCGUGGGGUGUGCCGAGUGUGUCCAAGAGUUGGUUGGGGCAUUUUAUUGAGUUCAGGACUCUUUGAAAUGCAAGGGUUUCCAUUUCAACAUUUUUUUAGUUUUUCGGGCCGGUCGGUCCUGGGUGGGACUCGUUACCGGAAUUGUUGUGUACGGGGAUUAUGGUUGGGUCCAAUUGCAUCACAUUUAUUUUAUUUAAUGUGUUAGAUGUGGUUGUGAAUUAUUAAGUGUAUGCAUAUAUAUAUAUAUAUGUGGUAAAAGUUUAGAAAGAAAAGAUAUUUCAUUUUGGUGGGGCCCACCACUAUUUUUUUUUUCUUUUAAAUGGUCAUGAGACCAUUAGUUGGUCUCAUCUUUUCUCUCUCUCUAAUCGCACGGCCCUCUCUCCCUCUUCUCAUUUCUUUUUCUCUUUCUCUUUCAAUCUUCAAUCCUUGAUUUCUCUCAAACCGUUGAGAGAUUUUUUAUGCCGUUUGCGGCAAAUUGAAGAGCUCAAGUAGAUCUACAAUUUGAUCCGAGCCAAGCCUCGUUUGGUGCACCUUGGAAUUUCACAAGUUAGGGCUUGGAUUUGGGAAUUUUGGGGUUUUCUACAUCAAUUUGAGGUCACGGGGUUGAACUGGUGGGUAUUGAUCUUCCACGAGCAUGGACGGGGUUGGAAAGGAUUUUAUGUGUAUCACACUGUAUUGAGAUGUAUAUUUUGUAAAGCUUAAAAAAAUUCUAUGUAAUCAUUUUAUUGUUAUAAUUUGACAAUGUAUCCGUACUCUAAUCAGCAAUUUGAUGUAUUUUGUGUA